UACGAAGGGGGCUAGCGUUGCUCGGAAUCACUGGGCGUAAAGCGCACGUAGGCGGGUUCUUAAGUCAGGGGUGAAAUCCUGGAGCUCAACUCCAGAACUGCCUUUGAUACUGGGAAUCUCGAGUCCGGGAGAGGUGAGUGGAAUUCCUAGUGUAGAGGUGAAAUUCGUAGAUAUUAGGAAGAACACCAGUGGCGAAGGCGGCUCACUGGCCCGGUACUGACGCUGAGGCGCGAAAGCGUGGGGAGCAAACAGG
rnacentral:rRNA from 1 species